UGUGAUGCAAACAAAGUUUUUUAUCUGAGAAAUGCAUUUUAAACAGGUAUCUCUGCUUAUAAGAGUGCACAACUGAGAAAAAUAUUCCGCAAAUUAUGAUUUAACCAAUUGAACGUAGUGUUCAACGCUUAUUUGGCUCAAAUUACGCGGUAAUUCUAAGUAAUUUUUAGUGAUUGGAAGAAGAGGGUAUUUUCCACAAAGCUUUGGAGAGACGGGGUUUCAUAAUGGUCUCUAGAAAGCCAGCUCUUUGUUAUACAUGUGUGGUCUACAUAUACUCCAUUCCAACUAUGUAGGAAAAUGGUUCCAAGCGUUCUCCAGCGGUUUCAUUCCAUCCCCGGUUAUCAUCAGAGUCAAAUGACGCUUCACCGAAAGGGAUGAAAUGCAACACUUGAAAAUAAGGUUAAAUUAGCUACAGUUGACGUGUUGGAGGUAACUGGGGGAAGAGAAGGAUAAACUGCCGGUUAAAUAUUUCACGGAUGAUACCUGCCAAGGCGCGGUGUAUUGUGUGUUGUCUACUUCAAUUCCGGAAUCCUACGUGGCAAGGUGGAUUCAUAACGGUGGCGGCACUCUAUAGGAAGCGCGUUUACCAAAUCUGACCUCGCAUGCUUAUUGCCUACCUUCCAGUCGUAGGCUGGUUUUACUAUGGAGUCUUAUGGGAGAUACUACGUUUUUUAUGUAUAUAAUCAUUAUUUAAAGAUUUCUGAUGUUGUACCUUAUACAAUGUGUUAGUGUACCCAUGGAUUAUGAUUUUACCUUACGGCAGCAACUUCAUUUUGUUUCUCCAGUACAAAAAAAAAUGUUCAAAGUUUUUCCGCCUGCAUGUAGGCAACAAAGCGUUCAGAUGGGUGAAAGAUUGUCAUUGAAAUAAAAUAACAGCUAUGCCGCUCAAAUUUAUUUAUACAAUUUUAAAUUUC